AAAAUCAGUUCGCCCCUCGCGAUCCCUCUCCAGGUCAGAUGAUCAGAUCUCCUCCGAUGGACGAGGCUUCGGGCGAACCCUAGGUGUGCAGCACCGGCGCCGUUCCCUUUGGCUCGCUACCCCGACGACCGUACACCGCAGGCCUCUCCACAUCCCUUCUCUCUUCCCUCACGGCGCCUCGCUCGUGAAACCCUAGCAGCUUGCUUUCCUCCUCUACGCACAGCGACGGCCGUGGCACUCCCAUGAUGUUUCUGCUUCCCCCUCCCUGCACCCACAAGGCCACGACCCUCAUGUCGUCUUCGUGAAGUCAGAUCCGUUUGCCACCGGCAACAGAGGACAAUGGGAGGAGGAGAAGAAAGGUGACGGCCAAGGCUAUUUAGGAAGCAGAUGGGGCUGCCUCACCUGUGGUACAGGGUGGAGUCGACCUCCAAAGCAACUGAGACCUUCACUACGGCACAGCGAAGCCACAACAUUUCCUUCUGCCCGCAUGGUCUCCAGGCGAUGGACUGAUCGUCCAGAUUCAGGUUUGAUUCUUCAGGUUGUCUUUUUUUACCGUAUUUGGCCUCAUCUUGGAUAAGUUGGUCAGUCGACUGCGGAAAAUCAGGUACAAUGUUUUGUGUAAACCAUGUAAUUCGGUUCUUAGUCCACUGUUAAAUUGGUGAAUUGUGCUUGCUUUUAGUUCUUUUUUGAAGUGUUGCAGAUUGUAGCUUGAUUUAGAUGACAGUAUUUUAAAUAUUUCACUUUUAUUUAGCAGCUUGCAUAUCAAUUGCCUAAACAAUCUGGAUCAGAAAUAGCUUGAGUGAAGACUUUCCAUGUGUAAUUAAAAUUCAAAUCCAUAUAAUCUCGCUCCUUCGUGGGUUGCUGCCUCCAGCCUGUCCUCCACGCGCAGCGACUAUUCUCAGUGUGCCCCGUCGUCUGGGAUUGGCCAUGGCAGGAUGGCUUGCAAGGGGAUGUCUCUGGGUGAUGGCUUAGGAGUCCAGCAUCCACAUCCUAGUACACGGACGUUGCCACAUCUGGCAACAAUUAAUACUAUAAGUUAUCUAAACAUCGAGUUAUCCAUGUCUAUAUUUUCUUUUGUAGUUCAGGCUAUGCCGCGCCAAAAGAUGAUGUGUGGAUUCUCCGGUCUCUGGAAGUGUCCCUGCUCUUAAUUGGUGUAUUUAAUCAUACCAUCUUUGUGUUACUGGAUAAAUUAUGCAACGUGCCUAACAUUUAGCUCACUUAAGCAUCAUUAAACGGUUAGUUCUAUUUAUCAUUAUGUCAUGUUCAGUUCAACUCAUAUAUUUAGAUGAAUUCGAACUUUGACUCUACAUCAGUGUCAAAUUUUAUGGUUUACCUACUUUUCUUUUCAUUGCUCAUGAAAAACUGUUAAAUUCACUGGCAAGUUUAUGGAGGGAUUUAUGUUAUUGGUAAUAAAUACACGACUAUGCAGUUCACUGCUGAGUUAACAUCAAAUUCUCCUGGAACUUGUGUUCUCAUGUAGCAGGAAAGAUGCUCUUUUGAAAGUCUUUCUUAGUGUCAAUGGAUAUUCUUCCAUCUAAUUGACUAUUAUUAAGUCCGCUCCGUGCUAAUUCCUAAAAGUUUAUAAACAUAUCUAUUCUGAACGUUGGGUCCUUCAUAUACUCCUCCGUUUUUUACAGGUUCUAAGAACUCCAGUGUCAUUUAAUAUGCUUAGGGAGUAUUUACAAUGGUUAUGGAAAAUCUGUACAUAAUGGCCUACAAUGGUUAUGUGAAAUCUGUAGUCAAUGACCUACCAGUUUUGCCAAAGGCACACUCGAAAAUAUGCAAAAGAUCUAGGAACACCUAGAUUUUGACAUUGCUUUGUUCAUCUGGUCCAAGCUCAAUGCCAACAAAUGGACAUACCCGAUAGAACUGAUUUAUGCUGGCAUAUCUAGAUUUGAUUGCAUGGAUGAUUCAUAGUUCAUAGUCGGAAAAUUCCUCUGUUUGUUCUGUUGGUCUCUGGCGCAAUGAAAUUAUUUCUCAGAUAUGCUAUCAUGCUGGCCUGGUCAAGCAUACAGAGAAAACAGAUAAUAUAUUUUAUGUAUAACAAAGCCAAAAAAGUUCUGAACGGUAGAUAGACAUAAUUAUAGUGAACAUGUAGAUGAGAUAAAUGAUCCUUGAUGGCUAUUUUCUGUAUCAAUCGGGCCCUACACUAAUGUAUAUCAUUUUUGAUGGAUUCCCUAAAGUUCCAAACCUUUCUCACUGGUAAUGGAAUGCUAUAUGCACCUGAAGCGAUUAGUUUUGGAGGGUUUUUCUCUUUUUUGGAAGCGUAUGUCUACCAGAUGGCCUACGACCAUUUCAAAACAUUAACUGACAAUGUUUUUUUCUAUGGUAUUUUUUUCUAACAUCCAAGGACUAAUAAAUAUAUACACUCUGUGUUACUUAGAAAUAAUAUGCUAUUUAGACCAACUGUCUAAUACUCCCUCCGAUCCAUAUUAAUUGUCGAAAUAUUACAUGUAUUUGGAUGCUUUUUAGGCAUAGAUACAUCCAUGUUUGGUCAAAUUUGAGACAAUUAAUAUGGAUCGGAGGGAGUAGAAAUUUAUGUGUCUACGUAUCUACUGAAAACACCAUUUUUACGAUAAUCAGAACUUUUUAUUUAUUUUUUGCUUUUUGAGAAUGCACAGCAAGAUGCACCGUUUAGUUAGACUUUGUCUUCAUAAUGUUUACCGUGUUGAGCACAAGGGUAUAAAGGAAAUAAUUCUUCAACAUUCACAGUGUUGGUCUUUUGACGUCAUAAAUAUUUAUUUACUAGAGAUGCAAGAUAGAAUUGUUUGUGUAGUGCUACAGCCUGGAGAUAAAUCUCCAUAUGCACUUGCACUAUUAAGGUUUUAUGUAAUUAUUCUUUGUGAUUGUGGUCUUCAGUUCUGAUUUCCUCUCUUUGUAACAAUAUACAACUUUCUUGCUGGAUACAAGGAUUGUCAAUAUCUGUUCUUGCUUUGGGAGACAACUCUAAGUCAAGAGGUAUUUCCAUGGUGCUGAAUCAGUUCUAUCUCCAGGCAUACAUCCUAUCUACGGAAUCUACAAAUAUACCAGCUAUCAACCUAAAUUACGAAGGACAUCAUGCUAUUAAACAUCGUCCUUAGGUCCCUUUCAAUUAUGUGCAUAUGAAUUUGUAUAACUCUAUACCUACACUAUUACCAAAACUUAGUACUUUGACCAACAUACAAACCUUUAUUGAGAAUUAUUGAAAUAUCCUUAGUGUCCCAUUUUAGAUGAAUGUAUCUUUCGUAAAAAAAACAAAUUGGAUGGAUCUAUCUUCUUUUGUGAACA